rfam:Salmo salar isolate Sally breed double haploid chromosome ssa01, whole genome shotgun sequence.
UAGCUCAAUUGGUAGAGCAUGGUGUUUGCAACGCCAGGGUUGUGGGUUCGAUUCCCAC